rnacentral:rRNA from 1 species
AUGUACGUACGCAACCUUGCUAGACGCUUGCAUCGCAACAACACCUCUGCCCUCCUGUUCAAGCUCGACAUCAAGAAAGCGUUUGACUCGGUGCGUUGGGACUACCUCCUGGACUUGCUCAACCACCUUGGUUUCCCUCCCCGGUUUCGUGGCUGGGUGUCUGCUCUCUUGUCUACGGCCUCUUCGCGUGUCUUGCUCAAUGGUGUGCCGGGCGACCCCUUCAGGCUUGGGCGUGGGCUGAGGCAAGGGGACCCCCUGUCUCCCCUUCUCUUUGUGCUGGCCAUUGAUCCAUUACAUCACAUCCUUGAGAAGGCCACAUCACAAGGUCACCUCCAUCCCAUUGGCGGUCGGGCUAUGCCGAUCCGGGCUUCCUCAACGCGGACGAUGCUGUGGUUUUUAUUGCGCCGCUCAAGGCGGAUGUCAGUUUCUUUGCCGACACCCUCAGAAACUUUGGAUUACCACUGUCAGUGA